rnacentral:rRNA from 1 species
GACGUAGGGGACGAGCGUUGUUCGGAUUCAUUGGGCGUAAAGGGUGCGUAGGCGGCGCGGUAAGUCGGGUGUGAAAUCUUGGAGCUUAACUCCGAAACUGCAUUCGAUACUGCCGUGCUUGAGGACUGGAGAGGAGACUGGAAUUUACGGUGUAGCGGUGAAAUGCGUAGAUAUCGUAAGGAAGACCAGUGGCGAAGGCGGGUCUCUGGACAGUUCCUGACGCUGAGGCACGAAGGCCAGGGGAGCAAACGGGG